AUUUAAAACUUGCUUCUUCUGUAUUCAUUGUCACUGUUUCCCUUGGCCUUUCAACAGUGCGGGCUGUGGCUCCGUGCAGUGAAUAGAAGCUGAAGCUGAGUUACUGGAGGACUUGAUUGUUUUUCCUGAGAUACAAAUCCGAUGCAAUGCGGGCCGCGGUGCUGGUGUCGGCGGUGAUGGUGGUGGUCCUGUUGAUGGCCACACCACUUACGUUGGCCACGAGUAUGAAAAAAUGUAACAUCAAAAACCCUUACAGCUUCCUUGCCACAAAUAAUGUUAAGAUUUAGAUUACCUUCAUUUAUAGACAGACCUUCAUGUCUUUCUUCGUUCUCAUCCACAUAUGUCACGUCUUUCUUAUCUCACUUCCCUCCUCUCCACAAUUAUCCUCGUUUCCGCCUAUGUCUCGUAUUCCAAGGUGUGUUGCUCUUCCAUCUGGGAUAUACAAACCCCAACAUUAAUGUCAACUUCAGAGUGCAGAAAUUGUUAUUGAAAUGCCACAGUACACAUCAAAACACCCUUGUAAAUACUAAUAACAUGGCGAAUCCUACCACAGCAGGUAUAGAAACACCCGUGAAAGUCAAAGUAACUUGCAUUACACUAUAGUGAAAAGUAAAAGACGACCAAACCGUUGAUAAUACUAUUCUGUCUUCUGUAAACAAGGCUUUAAUAGUAAUCACCACUCGUCACCAGUAUUCGCUCCUCUUCCUGCUGACCCUUGCAGUAAAAAUUGCAUAUGGUUCUAUUGGCACCUGUAGAUUGUAAUGGAAUAAUUAGCUGUUUUUCUGUGUGAUCGGACCCUUUAUGGUAGACUUCUUGAUGAAUUGUGGAAGAGUGGAUAUUGUUUUUGUCAUAUUUCCGUCACCGGUUACAGAAAUAAAGGUACACCAGACAAUCAUCCUUCACUUUUUUUUAUAUAAUUUCAUACCUCUUUUUGGGCAUUGGCACCUGAUGAAGUCACCUUUUUAUAUUAUUGUUGCUUUAGUUUGUUCCUCUCUCAUAUAAAACACACACACACGCGCGCGCGCGCGCGCGCGCACAUAGCAGCAGCAGAAAUAGCAGCAGCAGCAAGACAUUACUUUUAAAAUCAUGGACACUUAUUGCAGUAAUCUGACCACUCGAUCCAAAACAAAACCCCCAAAAAACCAUUAUAAAUCCUAAAAAAAAAAAAAAGAAUACAGCUGAAGACACAAACAGAUUUAUGUACGAGUAUAUACAAAACGUGUGAAUGAACUAAACAUGAUUAAAAAGAAAACAAUUAUGUAACUUUUCCAUUCGUCAAGAGAAAAAAUACUGAAUUAUCUUACGACAUUGUUGCCAACUGUCGCACGUUCCACUUGAAAACACCUCAACACCUCAUCUAGGAUUGUCAUGCACUCCUGAAUGCGUGCAAUUACACACACACACACACACACACACACACACACACACACACACACACACACACACAACCAAAGCGCAUGCACCACCAAAUAAGGAUCAAACCCUUAACAAUGAAAACACACAUACAUAACUUAAGUGUUUGGGAAUACUUGGCAAGAUACAAGACAAGCAUAUCCGAAUAAUUGCGUCAAGGUUUUUUUAAUUGAUAUCUUGUAUGCGUUGGUGUCAUGGAGAAUCUAAACAACAUUCCUUGGUAUAAUAGAUAAAACCUGCUUCCUCCGCAUUCAUUGUCACUGUUUCCCUUUGCCUUUCAACAGUGCGCGCUGCGGCUCCGUGCAUUGAGUAGAAGCUGAAGCUGAGUUACUGGAGGACUUGAUUGUUUUUCCUGACACACAAAUCUGGUACAAUGCGGCCCGCGGUGCUGGUGUCGGCGGUGGUGGUGGUGGUGGUUCUGCUGAUGGUCCGUCCCCUUAUGUCGAUCAAAGCUCACCCUUGCACUAAAGUGUGUCCAAAGAUCUUUCUCCCAGUCUGCGGAAGUGACUUAGUGACCUACGUUAACGACUGCGAAUUCAGCAUUGCCCAGUGCUUCAACCCUAAGCUCAAACUACUGCACAGGGGAAAAUGCAAAACAGACGACAAACGUGGAUAAAUAAAGAGUGUCAACUGGCCCUCUGGAAAAUGUAAAAAGAAAUGAAGAUUAAUGGGGAUAAUACUUGUGGUGCAAUUUUGUUAACAGAAAUUGGAAAGGACUUCAAAGUUUCAGUUUUGGCGGUAGAUAUAGUUCUAUAGACACCUUUGGAUUAUAAUGGAAUGAUUGGCUCCUUUUGUGUGUGACUGGAGCCUUAUAUUAAUGGAAGAUUCCUUAAUGAAUUGUGGAGGAAAGAACAUUGUCAUUUUAUAUUGUAUCACCGGUUACGGAAAUACAGGUUCAUGAGGCACUUAUCUUUCAUUUUCUAUCGUUAUUUUGGAAUCUCAGAAGGUCACAUCCAUUCUAAAUUACUGUUGCCCUUAGUUUGUGACCCUUUUUGCACACACACACACACGCACACGCACACACACACACACACACACACACACACACACACACACACACACACACGGAGCAGCAGCAGCAGCAGCAACAAGAAAUACGUUCCGAACUCAUGAACACUUACAUCCAGAGUCUAACCACUGCAUACAAAAACAAAGUAUACACAAAACGUAAGACUGAAAAAAAAAACAAGAAUAAGGAAACAAAUUAUUAAGAAGGUUUUCCAUCCGUAAGGGGGAAACCUGAUUUUAUUUACGACAUUGUUGCCACCUCUCCCACGUCCCACUUAAAAACACCUCAUUUAGGAUUGCAAUGCACUCCUGGAUUCAUGCAAGUACACACACACACACACACACACACACACACACACACACACACACACACACACACACACACACACACACACACACACAAAAAGAAUAAAAAGUCCAUGCGCCCCAAAUGAGCAUGGUAUCAUAGAGGAUAUAAACAACAUUCCUUGGUUGGCGUGCAUAAUAAAUAAAGCCUGCUCCCUCCGCUUCCAUUGUCACUGUUUCCCUUGGCCUUUCAACAGUGCGCGCUGUGGCUCCGUGCAGUGAGUAGAAGCUGAAGCUGAGUUACUGGAGGACUUGAUUGUUUUUCCUGACACAAAUUCGGUGCAAUGAGGCCCGCGGUGCUGGUGUCGGCGGUGAUGGUGGUGGUCUUGCUGAUGGCCCGCCCCCUUAUUUCUACCAAGAUUCACCCUUGCAUUAAAGCAUGCACACAAGAAUAUUUCCCAGUAUGCGGAAGUGAUUCAGUGACCUACCCAAACCCCUGCAUAUUCAGCAUUGCCCAGUGCUUUAACCCUAAGAUCAAGCUACUGCACUUGGGCCAAUGCAAGACAGACGGCAAAUGUUGAUAAAUAAGGAGCGUCAACUGCCCCUAUGGGAAUUGUAACAAUAAAUAAUGAUUAAUGGGGGAUGUUUUGGCGGAGGAUAUGGUUCUAUAGAUACCGUUGGAUUAUAAUGGGAUGAUUGGCUCCUUUUGUGUGUGAUCGGAGCCUUACAUUAAUGGGAGAUUCCUUAAUAAAUUGUGGAAGAGAGAG
rnacentral:lncRNA from 1 species